rnacentral:lncRNA from 8 species
GUGAUCAAGGGAUAGACAUCUUGCAAGAUGAUUUUUUUAGGCUUCUUGGUGAUUUUGACGUCAGUCCAAGCUGUGUCUGUGCCUACCUUCUCCCCCGUGAAUGAGCUGAAGGUGGGGUACGGAGAGAAUGUCACCCUCCCCUGUAACUUUUCCUCCUACCUGGGCCAGGAGGAUGAGGGGGAGGUCCGCUGGGAGGCCAUGGGGCAGGAGGUGGCCUCUAUGGAGGUUGGGAACAUCCUUGGUGAGGCCAGAUGGGACGACGGCGCCAAGGGGUUGGAGGUCAAAACGACGCUGGGGUUCUCUUCCCGGGUGGAAUUCCCCCCAGCAGAGAGGAUGAGAGAUGGAGACUUCUCUAUGACCAUCCAGGAGACAGUGCUGAGCGAUGAGGAAAUGUACGAGUGUAUCUGGCUGGGCCGCAAGACCAUCUCUACGGUCUGGCUCAAGGUUCAGGAGCCCGACCCUCCACGCUCUAUCACGCUGUUCAAGGGAAGCCCGGUCACUCUGCCCUGCUAUGGUGUCAUCCCCAAGACCCAGCCCACCAGCCAGAUCCACGUCCAAUGGCUGAAGGACGAUGUGGAGAUCAUGACCCUUAACCCUGGCCCAGACGACAAGGGACCUAAGGAAGAAGAUCUCCGUCUCUCUCUCCCACCCAACAACCUGCUGGAGAACGGUGACCUGUCCUUGUUUAUCUACAAGACGGAGCUCAAAGACCAGGGAGUCUAUCGCUGCUUCUACAAGUCCAGGGGCUUCGAGACCCCUAAGAAUGGGAUACCAGAGGGUGUCUCUCUCACCAUCCUAGAUCCAUACACUGACCUAUAUAACUUAACAGGAACAGAGAAUGUCACCAGUAGCUCAGACUUUAGUGGGACUAGUGGUGACAGUGAGAACCCAAUAACAUUCUUCACUUUGGUGACGCAAGAUAAGGAGGAUAUGCAAGUGACAUCAUCUGAGCCAAUACUAGUGCAGACAGAGAUGACACCAUCAUCACCUGACACAACCUUCGAGGAUCCAGAAGACGUGUUGGCAGUGUGGACAAAGACCCUUCCGCUAGUGCGUAUCGGGAUAAUCACCGUGGUUCUGCUGGUUACAGCUCUGAUCUUCUUCCCUCUGCUGGCUCUCAACAAGAUCCCAUCCUAG